UUGAGACAGGGUUUCUUUAUGUAGCCUAGGCUGUCCUGGAGAUAUCUCUGUAGACCAGGCUGGACUCAAACUCACAGAGAUCUGCCUGCCUUUGCUUCUGAGUGCUGGGAUUAAAGGCAUACGCUACCACUGCUUGUCACAAAUGUAGAUUUAUUAAGAAAAAUGAGAAGGAACUCCCAGGAGUGUGAAGGGUUAUGGGGAGGAAUACUCUUUUAAAAUCAAUCGAUCCAUUUCUUAUUUGAUGGUCCUGGGGAUUGAACACGGGGCCUUUCAUGUGCUAUUCAAGCUCUACUACUGAGCUGUAUUCCCAGCCCGUUUUAUGUUUUGUUUUGAGACAGGUUUUACUGAGUUGACCAGGAUUGUCUCAGACUCACUCUGUCUUGAACUUUGAGUUCUCCUUCCUUGACUUCCAGAAGAGCUAGAGUUACAGGCUAGCCCAACUGUUCAGUUCUUCAAAAUCACUGCUUAAGGCAUCCUCAAGGAUGCUACUGUUAUGUCAUAGAAGCUGCUCCUGUGGGGAUCAGACAUAGUGCCUUCACUAAUCUGCUGGGCUCAAGACUCCUCACCUGGGCUUACAAACUUCUCCCCUCUGAAGUCUAUAAAUGUAAGGUGCCUGGCGAUGACUGCCCCCUGGUGUGGGGCCAAUGCUCCCACUGCUUCCACAUGCACUGCAUCCUCAAAUGGCUGAACGCGCAGCAAGUGCAGCAGCACUGCCCCAU